CUUAAUUACUGUAGCACCCCCUGAAACUUCGGUCAAAUCUCACUUAACCCCCCCAAAGUUAAAAUGGCCCACUUUACCCCCUUGACCGUGGUUUUGUGUUCCAUUUAACCCCCCACCGUCAACGCCAUCCAAACGACCGUCAAAAAAGCUGACGUGGCAGGGGCAUUAUGGUCCAAUCAUCCACGGUGCCCAAUUGCUAACCCUAUUCAGCAUCCUACGUGGCAUAGUGGACCCCACAUGCGUUGAAAAUCCUAAUCUAAGGUGGAGACUUAAUGAGCGGACCCCAAAUAACAAUCUCCCCUCUUCUUCUUCGAUAAUAGGGUUGGUAAACCCAGAAAAAUUACUUGCCACCAUUUUAAGGAUUUAGGGUUCCCCAGAGAAAAAUCUCUCCAUCUUUCUUCGAUUAGAGGGUGUGAAGAUGAGGAAAGAACCUCCAGGAGGAGAAGAGCUGGCCGUUGCAGCACCUCAUUGCUAUUGUGGGAGGCUUGCUCGGCUGCAGACUUCUUGGACAGAGUCCAACCCACUUCGGAGGUUCUUUGUGUGUCCAAAGUCAGAGAGGGGGAAAAACGGUUGUGGGUUUUUUGUAUGGGUUGAUAUUGAAAUGCCUCGCCGUGAGAGAGCUCUGAUGGCUUGGCUGCUGAGGACAAAGAGAGAAGUUGAAGA